rnacentral:rRNA from 1 species
UGGAGGCAGCAGUAAGGAUAUUGGUCAAUGGGCGCAAGCCUGAACCAUGCCAUGCCGCGUGAAGGAUGACGGCCCUAUGGGUUGUAAACUUCUUUUGUACGGGAAAAAACCUCUGGUCGUGUACCAGAGCUGAUGGUACCGUAAGAAUAAGCAUCGGCUAACUCCGUGCCAGCAGCCGCGGUAAUACGGAGGAUGCAAGCGUUAUCCGGAUUCAUUGGGUUUAAAGGGUGCGCAGGCGGAGUGAUAAGUCAGUGGUGAAAGCCUACAGCUUAACUGUAGAACUGCCAUUGAUACUGUCAUUCUUGAGUAUUGUUGAGGUAGGCGGAAUGUGUCAUGUAGCGGUGAAAUGCUUAGAUAUGACACAGAACACCGAUCGCGAAGGCAGCUUACCAAGCAAUAACUGACGCUCAUGCCGAAAGCGUGGGGAUCAGGUUUAAUACCCUGGUAGUCCACGCCGAGGGAAGAUCUACUCGUGUGGCUGAUACGGGAGCGUCUUAGCGGAACGUGAUUUUGUGAUCACUCUACGAGGUGCUGCAUGGUUGUCGUCAGCUCGUGCCGUGAGGUGUCGGGUUAAGUCCCAUAACGAGCGCAACCCCUAUCUUUAGUUGCCAUCAGGUAAUGCUGGGGACUCUAAAGAAACUGCCUACGCAAGUAGUGAGGAAGGCGGGGAUGACGUCAAAUCAGCACGGCCCUUACGUCCAGGGCUACACACGUGCUACAAUGGCCGGUACAGAGGGCAGCUACCUGGUGACAGGAUGCAAAUCUCCAAAGCCGGUUUCAGUUCGGAUCGAAGUCUGAAACUCGACUUCGUGAAGUUGGAUUCGGUAGUAAUCGCGCAUCAGCCAUGGCGCGGUGAAUACGUUCCCGGGCCUUGUACACACCGCACAUCCAUAUG